AGUUGGCAAUACCCAACGUACGUGAUCUAACCCGCAAGGGAGGAAGCGUCCUAAGGUAGGGUCAGCGAUUGGGGUGAAGUCGUAACAAGGUAAC
rnacentral:rRNA from 1 species